CGUGUAGGCGGUGCGGUAAGUUGGGCGUGAAAUCCCCGGGCUUAACCCGGGUGGGCCGUUCAAGACUGCCGUGCUAGGGUGCGGGAGAGGGAAGUGGAAUUUCCGGUGUAGCGGUGAAAUGCGUAGAUAUCGGGAGGAACACCUGCGGCGAAGGCGGCUUCCUGGACCGUAACCGACGCUGAGGCGCGAAAGCUAGGGGAGCAAACAGGAUUAGAUACCCUGGUAGUCCUAGCCCUAAACGAUGAGCACUGGGUGUGGCCCCUCACGGGGCUGUGCCGAAGCUAACGCAUUAAGUGCUCCGCCUGGGGAGUACGGUCGCAAGGCUGAA
rnacentral:rRNA from 1 species